rnacentral:lncRNA from 1 species
CACCACCAGGAUCCAGGGAUCCAGCACCGCUGGGAUUUGGCUCUUGGACAUCCAGAACCACUGGGAUCCGAGGAUCCAGCAACACUGGGAUUUGGCUCUCCAAUAUCCAGCACCACCGGGAUCUGGCACUAUUGGGAUUUGGCUCUCCAACAUCCAGAACCACUGGGAUCCAGUGAUCCGGGACCACUGGGAUAUGGCUCUCUAACAUCUGGCACCACUGGGAUCCAGGGAUCUGGCACCGCUGGGAUUUGGCUCUCGGGGAUCUGGCAUCACUGGGAUCUGGGAAUCCGGCAGAGACAGCAUUGGGUGCUCAGGUGACCGGUACCACUGGGAUCCAGGGAUCCAGGAAUCCGGCAGAGACGGUGUUUGGUGCUCGGAUGGCCGGUACCACCGGGAUCCAGGGAUCUGGGACCACUGGGAUUUGGCUCUCCAGUAUCUGGUACCACUGGGAUCCAGUGAUCUGGGACCACUGGGAUUUGGCUCUCCAGUAUCUGGUACCACCGGCAUCUGGGGAUCCAGCACCGCUGGGAUUUGGCUCUUGGACAUCCAGAACCACUGGGAUCCGAGGAUCCAGCAACACUGGGAUUUGGCUCUCCAAUAUCCAGCACCACCGGGAUCUGGCACUAUUGGGAUUUGGCUCUCCAACAUCCAGAACCACUGGGAUCCAGUGAUCCGGGACCACUGGGAUAUGGCUCUCUAACAUCUGGCACCACUGGGAUCCAGGGAUCUGGCACCGCUGGGAUUUGGCUCUCGGGGAUCUGGCAUCACUGGGAUCUGGGAAUCCGGCAGAGACAGCAUUGGGUGCUCAGGUGACCGGUACCACUGGGAUCCAGGGAUCCAGGAAUCCGGCAGAGACGGUGUUUGGUGCUCGGAUGGCCGGUACCACCGGGAUCCAGGGAUCUGGGACCACUGGGAUUUGGCUUCCCAGUAUCCAGCAUCACUGGGAUCCGCUGGGAUUUGGCUCUCAGGGAUCCAGCACCACCGGGAUCUGGGGAUCUGGCAGGGAUGGGGUUUGGUGCUCGGAUGUUGGGCACCACCGGGAUCCGGGGAUCCAGCACCACCAGGGUUUGGCUCUCCGGGAUCUGGCGCUGCCAGGAUGUGACUCUUGGGCAUCUGGGAUCCGGGGAUCCGGCACCGCCGGGGGUUUGGCUCCCCGGGAUCCGGCACCACUGGGUUCCAGGGAUCCGGCACCGCCGGGGUUUGGCUCCCCGGGAUCUGGGAGCACCGGGAUUUGGGGAUCCAGGCUCUGGCUCCAGGCGGUUCCGGCUCCGCGGCAGCGGGUGCAGGUGUGUGGUGGGGCCGUGUCCCUCUGUCCCCUCCCCGUGUCCCUCUGUCCCCUCCCCGUGUCCCUGUCCCUCUGCACAUCCAGGGGUCCGUGUCCAUGCAUGUCCCUCCGUGUCCCCGUGUCCGUCUGUGCGUCCCCGUGUCUGUCCCUCCAUGUCACCCCAUGUCACUCCGUGUCCCU